rnacentral:rRNA from 1 species
CACCGGUACUGAUGUGCAAAUCGUUCGGAUGACCUGGGUAUAGGGGCGAAAGACCAAUCUAGACCGGCAAUAGCUGGUUCCUCUCGAAACUGCUCGCAGGCAGACCUCAGCUGAGACGGGGCAUGCGGUAGAGCACUGAUUGCGUGUUUAGGAAGCGAAAGUUUUCGGCAUGCUGUCAAACUCCGAAUGUGUGUCCGUCGUAGAAGCUGGGCAGUGAGGGCAUCGGGGUAAGCUUGAUGUCCAUAAGGAAAACAAACCAGACCAGAGUUAAGGUCCCUAAGUAACAGCUAAGUGUUAAAGAACAAAUAGUGUUUGAAGGCAUAGACAGCUGGAAGGUUCGCUUAGAGGCAGCCAUCCUUUAAAGAGUUCGUAACAGAUCACCAGUCGAGUUUCUGGGCCCAGAAAAUGGACGGGACUAAGCGGUUCACCGAUACUUUGGGCCACCGAAAGGUGAUGCGGUAGAGAGGCGUCGUGCGUGGAUGGAAGCAGGGGCGUGAGUUCCUGUGGACCGCGUUCGAAUGAUAAUCAUGGGAAGAGUAGUAGCGUAGACGGGUGAGAAUCCCGUCCGCCGUAGGGGCUAGGGUUCCUCGACGAUGUUCAUCAGUCGAGGGUUAGUCGGUCCUAAGGUUUCCCCUAACAGGAGAAAUCGAAAGGGAAGCAGGUUAAUAUUCCUGCACCAGUCCGUAUUUUGUCCAGUUCUUGACACAUCGGGUGCGAUGGAGCACUCCUGUCGGAGUGUUGCUGAUCGCGAUAAAGUCGUGGAGAACCGUAAUGGUGAGAAGCGACCUAAGCGGUCGGGAGGCGGAGUAUUUCGCUUCCGUUCUAUCCUGGUGUCCGUGAAAAGGGAGCUGGAGCCGUACUGACUGUCCGUACCGAGAUCUGACACAGGUGCCCCUAGGUGAGUAGCCUAAGGCGUCGCGGCAUAAUCAAGGCAAGGGAAUUCGGCAAAUUGGCCCCGUACCUUCGGUAGAAGGGGUGCCAGCCUUGCAGAAGGCUGGUCGCAGUGACCAGGGAGCUCCGACUGUUUACUAAAAACACAGGUGGCUGCUAGUCCGUAAGGAUGUGUAUAGCCGCUGAAUCCUGCCCAGUGGCGGUAUCUGAAACCCGGUUACAACCGGACGAAGGACCGCUAAACGGCGGGGGUAACUAUGACCCUCUUAAGGUAGCGUAAUACCUUGUCGCUUAAUUGGCGACUUGCAUGAAUGGCCCAACGAGAGUCCUACUGUCUCCGCGGUACGUCCGGCGAAAUUGACAUUACUGGCGCACAGUCCAGUACCCUCAACCUGCAAGCGAAGACCCCGUAGAGCUUUACUGCAGCCUGGCGUUGUACAAUCGCACUUCACGUGCUGAGUAGACGGGAGACGUUGAUCCACGGGACGCCAGUCCCGUGAGUAGUCGUCCAUAGAGACACCGUCCUUGGAGUGUAAUUGUACUCACUCUUCAUGAGAACACCGCUUGGUGGGCAGUUUGGGUGGGGCGCCACGCGCUCGAAAACAUAACAAGCGUGCCCAAAGGUCAGCUUAGGUGGUUCAGUCUCCACCGUUAACUGUAAGGGGAAAAGCUGGCUUGACUUGGAUCGGACCAAUAACGAUCGAAGAUGCGAAAGCACGGCCUAACGAACCAAUGUACCUCAUUUCUGGGGGUCAUUGAUAACAGAAAAGUUACCUCGGGGAUAAUUGAGUUGUCACCAGCAAGAGCACACAUCGACCUGGUGGCUUGCUACUUCGAUGUCGUCUCUUCCCAACCUCCUGGUGCAGCAGCUGGGAAGGGUGGGGUUGUUCGCCCAUUAAAGGGGAUCGUGAGAUGGGUUUAGACCGUCGUGAGACAGGUUUGUUGCUUUGUGGUUGAAGUGUUGAUGCCUGAUGGAAAGGGCCCCUUAGUACGAGAGGAACGGGGGCUCGCAGCCACUAGUUUACCAGUUGUCCGACAGGGCAUUGCUGGGCAGCCACGCUGUAAGGGAUAAGAGCUGAAAGCAUCUAAGCUCGAAACCCACCUCGAGACGAGGCACUUUGACGCCCGUAGAAGACGGGAUGAUAGGACCGGGG